UACGUAGGGCGCGAGCGUUGUCCGGAAUUAUUGGGCGUAAAGAGCUCGUAGGCGGCUUGUUGCGUCGACUGUGAAAACCCGCGGCUCAACCGUGUGGCUUGCAGUCGAUACGGGCAGGCUAGAGUUCGGUAGGGGAGACUGGAAUUCCUGGUGUAGCGGUGAAAUGCGCAGAUAUCAGGAGGAACACCGGUGGCGAAGGCGGGUCUCUGGGACGGUACUGACGCUGGAGACGCGAAAGCGUGGGGAGCGAACAGG
rnacentral:rRNA from 1 species